rnacentral:rRNA from 1 species
AUUGAACGCUGGCGGCAGUCCUAACACAUGCCAGUCGAGCGGAUGAAGUGAGCUUGCUCCUGGAUUCAGCGGCGGACGGUUGUGUCAUUCCUAUGAAUCUGUCUGGUAGUGGGGGAUCACAUCCGUAGACGGGCGCUCAUACCGCAUACGUACUGCGGGCGAUAGAGGGGGGUCUUCGGUCCUCACGCUCUCAUCUGCGCCUAGGUCGGAUGACUGAGUUGGUGGGGUAAAGGCCUACCAAUGCAACGAUCCGUAACUGGUCUGAGAGGAUGGUGAGUCACACUGGAACUGAGACCAGGUCCAGACUCCUACGGGAGGCAGCAGUGGGGAAUAUUGGACAAUGGGCGAAAGCCUGAUCCAGCCAUGCCGCGUGUGUGAAGAAGGUCUUCAGAUUGUAAAGCACUUUAAGUUGGGAGGAAAGGCAGUCAGUUAAUACCUUGCUGUUUUGACGUUACCAACAGAAUAAGCACCGGCUAGCUUCGUG